rnacentral:tRNA from 1 species
CCUAGACCAGCGGGCCUCGAUCCCGCAAAAACUAGUUAACAACUAGGAGCCCAAGCCAGCGGGCCUCAGC